ACAAAGAGGAUAAUUUUAUUAAUUAACAUACUUUAAAUAACGGAUUAUCCAACUAAUUAACAUGUUAAUACAUUUUGCAAAGAAAAUGAGAUUGGCUGUCUUUGGAUCCCCAUUGAUUAAAGAAUUUAAAUGACAUAAGAUUUGUUCACGUGAUUUGUGUUAAAGUUGUCAAAGACCAAAUGAUAGUAAGGUGCAGAAUCAAUGAUCAUCACAUGCUUUUUAAUACUAAAAUAUUGUUAUGUAAGUUGACAACAAAAACAUUAUUGUUAUGUUUGGACAUUUUGACCUUUUAUUUGAUAUGAUUAAUUAUUCUCUUACUUUAUUUAUGGAAACCAUGAGAAGAACAUUAAAUGGAGCACAUUGAACGGAUCUGUGUCUAAUUAGUUUCAGAUUAUGAAUGAAUUAAUACGCAAUCUAUUGUAUCUGUGUAUACUACAUUACUACUACACUGGUAGCUCUGGAAGUACAAAAAGAGUCAAAGAAGUAGAGACACUGACAAGAAGUUAGGAGGAAUCUAUAAAAAGAACGGAAACUGUGUCGUUUUGAGACCCGUGACAUUUAUUUUCAGUAAAGUUUAGUCAAGGAAUAAAAAAAUGUUGUGUUAGAUGAAAUCUCUGUCUUAAUCUUGAUAGUGAGACUAAAAAAACUUGUGAACUGAACCAUACAAAAAAAUAUAUGAUUAAAAUUUAUUUGACAGAAUUUUUUUUCCUCCAUACAGAGUACAUCUUAUUUUCAAUAUUUUAAAUUUAUUUAUGUAUAUUAUAUAUAACCGCUAAAAAGCAAAAAUAAUAAUCACGUACACGGCAAAACAUUUGUGAUGCGUGUAUAUUGGUGUUGUGCGUAAAAUUGGUUCCCACUAGAUAUUAGUUCCAUACUCAAUUAUGAAACCAAAUUACCAAAUAUGUAAAUAUUUCUUAAUUUCCUCAAAAAGUUAAUUUCUUUUCAAGGAAAAAAAGAAGAAGAGUUCCUUGUUUAUUUCGCCGAAAAUGAGUCUCUUUUUUUUUUCUUUUUAAAAAAGACGAAAAUAAGUCUCACGCAACAUUCUCACGCAACACAAAGUACAUGAAAACCGAAAACAACUUAACAAAUGUAAAGGAACCCGUGAAAGAAAAUUCAGUUACAAAGUUUUGAUAUAUAUACAGAGAAGCCAUUAUUAUAUAUAUAUAGGUUUAUAAAAUAGGACAAUCAGAUAAAACAAUCAUUUCGUAUGAGCAAUAUUUUUUGGUGAAAUUUAUAUAUAUUUAUAGUAAAAUAU